rnacentral:rRNA from 1 species
AACGCUAGCUACAGGCUUAACACAUGCAAGUCGAGGGGCAGCAUUUUAGUUUGCUUGCAAACUGAAGAUGGCGACCGGCGCACGGGUGAGUAACACGUAUCCAACCUGCCGAUAACUCCGGAAUAGCCUUUCGAAAGAAAGAUUAAUACCGGAUAGUAUACGAAUAUCGCAUGAUAUUUUUAUUAAAGAAUUUCGGUUAUCGAUGGGGAUGCGUUCCAUUAGUUUGUUGGCGGGGUAACGGCCCACCAAGACUACGAUGGAUAGGGGUUCUGAGAGGAAGGUCCCCCACAUUGGAACUGAGACACGGUCCAAACUCCUACGGGAGGCAGCAGUGAGGAAUAUUGGUCAAUGGGCGAGAGCCUGAACCAGCCAAGUAGCGUGAAGGAUGAAGGCUCUAUGGGUCGUAAACUUCUUUUAUAUGGGAAUAAAGUUUUCCACGUGUGGAAUUUUGUAUGUACCAUAUGAAUAAGGAUCGGCUAACUCCGUGCCAGCAGCCGCGGUAAUACGGAGGAUCCGAGCGUUAUCCGGAUUUAUUGGGUUUAAAGGGAGCGUAGGUGGAUUGUUAAGUCAGUUGUGAAAGUUUGCGGCUCAACCGUAAAAUUGCAGUUGAAACUGGCAGUCUUGAGUACAGUAGAGGUGGGCGGAAUUCGUGGUGUAGCGGUGAAAUGCUUAGAUAUCACGAAGAACUCCGAUUG